rnacentral:lncRNA from 1 species
GGGCGCUGCGGGGCGGCCCCGGGGCUCCGUCCCGGCGCGCGGCCGGGGCUCCUUUCCUCGCGUUCCUUCGCGGCCGUCCCGCGCUCGACGCAAACUCGGGUGAAGUUGAGGUCGGUCCCGAGCCCCCCUCGGGGCCCGUCCGUACCGGACAACCCGCGGCAUCGCGGCCGAGCGCAGGGUGGGAGUGCGGUGUCACGUCUGCUGUCCCAAGGCACCGCGCACCCGCACAGGGGAGAACGGAUCACCUCUAAUGCCCGUCCCUUCUGUGUGCCUCAGCUCCCACCAAGGACUGCAGCACAGGACCACAUCCAGCGUCGUGUCGGCAGUGGAACCGGCACAUGAGAGCCCACCUGCAUGACAGAGGACUUUCUGGAAAACAAGUUCAGCCUUGCUGUCUGCGCCUGGCACGUGAGAAUGAAAACUGGCUUGUUUGGAGCAAAGGCCUCCCUGCAGUCACUGACAGAGGCUUUGGAAGCAGCUCUGCAGGAUGUCCUGGGACCAGUGUGACACAACUGGGAGUACCAGCUAGCUGAAAAACUCGCUUCAGAAGCACUCGGCCAUGGCCUGCUGAGGAACUGGAGAGACUAAACUACCAUCAGCACUGCAGCAGUGAGAAGAAAAAUGGAGCUCCACUGGUUAGCAGCAGCUUUGGUGAGAUGGGGUUCAGCACCGCAGUGGAACUGAUAUGGAGGAGACAGUGAGGAAGGGGUAUGAAAAGGUGUCAAAUAUUUGAGGCUGAGGAGGAGGUGACUAUGUUGAACAAUAAUGUUCUGUAGAUGAGGGUUUGCUCUAUCAGACAGUUGUACUGUGCUCUUUGUAUCUGUUGUAGGUUCUGUGGAAGGAAAUAGGAGGCAUUACUUUCAGAGCACUGCUUUUAUCAAUGAUAUGCUGAUUUCAAACAACUGGACUUUUUUUCAUACCGUAUGUCUGUAUAUCCCACCCAAUCACAGCUCCCCCUGCCAUCGUCCUUCCUCGUUGCUGAUACAUUCCUGCUGUAGGUGACAGCCCCUCAGAACAAAAAUCUGGGAAUGUGCUUCUGAAAAAGUACCACGAGGAUAAAUAUACAAGUAGGAGUGCUGGUAUCUUGCAUCAUUUUUUAUUGCUGAAUAAUUAAAAAUGAAAUGCUGUUAUUGUUUGAAUGUCAGAAUAAAUUCUCAAUUAUUUGAUUAUGUUACA